GGGACCCGUCUUGAAACACGGACCAAGGAGUCUAGCAUGUGCGCGAGUCAUUGGGACUCUAACGAAACCUAAAGGCGUAAUGAAAGUGAAGGUUCGCCACGCGCGAACCGAGGGAGGAUGGACGGUCGAUAGUGGCCGUCCCGCACUCCCUGGGCGUCUCGUUCUCAUCGCGAGAAGAGGCGCACCAAGAGCGUACACGCUGGGACCCGAAAGAUGGUGAACUAUGCCUGGUCAGGACGAAGUCAGGGGAAACCCUGAUGGAGGUCCGUAGCGAUUCUGACGUGCAAAUCGAUCGUCGGAACUGGGUAUAGGGGCGAAAGACUAAUCGAACCAUCUAGUAGCUGGUUCCCUCCGAAGUUUCCCUCAGGAUAGCUGGCGCUCGCUUCUCGCGAGUCUCAUUCGGUAAAGCGAAUGAUUAGAGGCAUUGGGGUCGAAACGGCCUCAACCUAUUCUCAAACUUUAAAUGGGUGAGAUCUCCGGCUUGCUUGAACUGUGAAGCCGCGAGAUAUCGGAUCAGAGUGCCAAGUGGGCCACUUUUGGUAAGCAGAACUGGCGCUGUGGGAUGAACCAAACGCCGAGUUAAAGCGCCUAAAUCGACGCUUAUGGGAUACCAUGAAAGGCGUUGGUAACUUAAGACAGCAGGACGGUGGCCAUGGAAGUCGGAAUCCGCUAAGGAGUGUGUAAA
rnacentral:rRNA from 1 species